rnacentral:tRNA from 1 species
GCCACCCUAGCUCAGCUGGUAGAGCAUCGCAUUCGUAAUGCGAGGGUCGUCAGUUCGAUUCUGACGGGUGGCUCCA